UCGAGAAUUUUUCUCAAUGGGGGAAACCCUGAAGGAGCGACGCCGCGUGGAGGAUGAAGGUCUUCGGAUUGUAAACUCCUGUCAUUGGCGAACAAGAUUUGCGGUUAACUGCCGUCAAAUUUGCUGGUAGCCAAAGAGGAAGAGACGGCUAACUCUGUGCCAGCAGCCGCGGUAAUACAGAGGUCUCAAGCGUUGUUCGGAUUUAUUGGGCGUAAAGGGUGCGUAGGCGGCAGGGUAAGUUAGAUGUGAAAUCCCGAGGCUUAACCUUGGAAUUGCAUUUAAUACUGCCAUGCUAGAGUACUAGAGAGGGGACUGGAAUUUACGGUGUAGCAGUGAAAUGCGUAGAUAUCGUAAGGAAGACCAGUGGCGAAAGCGAGUCCCUGGAUAGUUACUGACGCUGAGGCACGAAAGCCAGGGGAGCAAACGGGAUUAGAUACCCCUGUAGUCC
rnacentral:rRNA from 1 species